rnacentral:rRNA from 1 species
UAUCAUGUCAGAUUAGCCAUGCAUGUCUUAGAAGAAGUAGCUGAUCCAGAAUCUGCGAACGGCUCCGUAUAUCUGUUAUAACCCAUCAACACUCCCCCAAGCGGAUAACCCCGGUAAUUCUGGGGCUAAUACGUGAUACGCGGGCCCCCCCCUGCGGGGGGGUUCGGCCUCGCGACCAUCACCGGCGGGCCCCUCGGGGCUGCUGCGUGAGUGCUCGCGAGAGUGCCAGACCGCCCACUUGGCGGCGUGCUUGGGGGAUUCCAGACCUAUCAACUAGAAGGCUCGGCAGAGUCCAGCCUUGGUUAUAACGGGUACAGAGGAUCAGGGUUCGGUCCUGGAGAGGUAGCCUGAGAGAUCGCUACUACUUCUAAGGAAGGCAGCAGGCGCGCAACGUUCCCAAUGGGCAGGUCCCUGAGGACGUGACGGGACAUAGCAAUACGGCACUUUGUGCCGUAAUUGAAAUGGAGUGCCCUUAAAUAACACUCUGAGUAGCAAUUGGAGAACAAGUCUG